rnacentral:sRNA from 1 species
GCUGGGCGUGGUGGCUCAUGCCUGUAAUCCCAGCACUUUAGGAGGCUGAGGUGGGCGGAUCACCUGAGGUCAGGAGUUCAAGACCAGCCUGGCCAACAUGGUGAAACCCCGUCUCUA